GGGCAGAGCGCCGGAUCUUGGGCUGUAUCCCCGGCACCCUGGGCUCCACGGCCUGCGCCGUUGGAUUCGCGCUCCGGGCCGGGCAGCCCCCU
rnacentral:pre_miRNA from 1 species